rnacentral:rRNA from 1 species
AUUGAACGCUGGCGGCAGGCCUAACACAUGCAAGUCGAACGGUAACAGGAAGCAGCUUGCUGCUUCGCUGACGAGUGGCGGACGGGUGAGUAAUGUCUGGGAAACUGCCUGAUGGAGGGGGAUAACUACUGGAAACGGUAGCUAAUACCGCAUAACGUCGCAAGACCAAAGAGGGGGACCUUAGGGCCUCUUGCCAUCGGAUGUGCCCAGAUGGGAUUAGCUAGUAGGUGGGGUAACGGCUCACCUAGGCGACGAUCCCUAGCUGGUCUGAGAGGAUGACCAGCCACCCCUGAACCUGGACCCGGUCCCGGCCCCUAAGGGAGGGCGGAGUGGGGAAUAUUGGACAAUGGGGGGAAGCCUGAUGCAGCCCAGGCGCGGGGAUGGAGAAGGCCCUCGGGUUGUAAAGUACUUUCAGCGGGGAGGAAGGGAGUAAAGUUAAUACCUUUGCUCAUUGACGUUACCCGCAGAAGAAGCACCGGCUAACUCCGUG